rnacentral:lncRNA from 1 species
GGCUAUUUAUCAUAGAUGUCUAUAAGUCACAUACACAUAUUCUUUUUUUUUUUUUUUUUUUUUUUUGAGAUGGAGUCUCACUCUGUCACCAGGCUAGAGUAUAGUGGCACGAUCUUGGCUCACUGCAACCUCCACCUCCCAGGAUCAAGCAAUUCUCCUGCCUCAGCCUCUGCAGUAUCUGGGACUACAGGCACGCACCACCAUGCCCAGGUAAUUUUUGUAUUUUUAGUACAGAUGGGGUUUCAUCAUGUUGGCCAGGAUGGUCUCAAUCUCUUCACCUAGUGACCCGCCUGCCUCAGCUGCCCAAAGUGCUGGGAUUACAGGCGUGAGCCACUGCGCCCGGUGCAUACAUUCUUAUAAUAGCUCUUCCAAGCAGUGCGUCCUCAAAGAAGAAGAUGCUCGAAGAAAGCUUGAUGCUGCCGUCUUCAAGAUCAAGAACUGCAUCCCUUUCCCUGAGUACAUUUUCCUUACAUGUUGUAAAGAAAUGCCCUAGAAAAUUGAUGUUCUAUCUAAAUACUAUGUGAAUAUUUUAGAAUAUAUUUUAUUGUUGUUUUUAAAGCAGAUUUCAAGUGAAGAAAUUUUAAAAUUAAAAAAGAAAGUUAUUAGUGGCAAUAAACACGCCUGUAAAUAGUGUGUCAAUGGAAUGAAGGCAAUCAAAGUGGCUCUUUUGGCUACUAACGUUUUCAUAAAAGCUUUG